rnacentral:misc_RNA from 1 species
GAUGAAGAACGCAGCGAAAUGCGAUAAGUAAUGUGAAUUGCAGAAUUCCGUGAAUCAUCGAAUCUUUGAACGCACAUUGCGCCCGCCAGUAUUCUGGCGGGCAUGCCUGUUCGAGCGUCAUUUCAACCCUCAAGCCCCCGGGCUUGGUGUUGGGGAUCGGCCGCCCUCUCCGGCGCGCCGGCCCCGAAAUCUAGUGGCGGUCUCGCUGUAGCCUCCUCUGCGUAGUAGCACACCUCGCACCGGAACGCAGCCUGGCCACGCCGUUAAACCCCCCACUUCUGAAGGUUGACCUCGGAUCAGGUAGGAAUACCCGCUGAACUUAAGCAUAUCAAUAAGCGGAGGA